AUGCUUGAUUUUCGAGAUGUUCUUCAAGUUUGUGGGUUGGUGGAUCUCGGUUUUGCAGGCCUCCCAUACACCUUCGACAAUCGACAAGGAGGUCGAGCAAACGUCAAGGUUCGCCUUGACCGUGUGGUGGCGAAUAAUACUUGGAGGGAUGUUUUUGCACAUGCAAAGGUGGAGCAUUUGGUGGCGCCGUGCUCAUACCAACUAGCCAUCCUCCUCAAGUGCGCGCUGGAGGAGCCACGCCAACAGGGGGUUAGGAGGUGCAGGCAGUAUGAGGUUAUGUGGGAGCGGGACCCCGCCCUCCCAGAGGUAAUUAUGAACACUUGGACUGAGUUGGGCUCUAUGUUGAAUCUUGGUGAUAUUGCUUCUAGAUUAGGAAAUAUGAUGAAAAGGCUGCAGGAGUGGAGCCAGAAUUUUUUUGGUAAUGUCAUUAAGGAAAUUAACAAAUCAUGCUCUCGCCUCGAGGAGCUUAUGUCUAUGAAUGCAGAUAGAAAGGAGAUACGGGAGGCAACUGACCGGAUGAACGAGUUGCUUUACAGAGAGGAGAUGUUAUGGAUGCAGCGCUCCCACAUUGCAUGGUUGUAG
rnacentral:rRNA from 1 species